AUUUUAGUGUAAAUAUGUCCCAUGCAAUAUUUGGGAUAUUCUUAUACUAAAA
rfam:Papio anubis isolate 1X1155 chromosome 16, whole genome shotgun sequence.